rnacentral:rRNA from 1 species
ACCAGACUCCUACGGGAGGCAGCAGUGGGGAAUAUUGCACAAUGGGGGAAACCCUGAUGCAGCGACGCCGCGUGAGUGAAGAAGCGUUUCGGCGCGUAAAGCUCUGUCAGCGGGGAAGAAACACGGUUCGCGAGAGCCGCGGACGGUACCUGACUAAGAAGCCCCGGCUAACUACGUGCCAGCAGCCGCGGUAAUACGUAGGGGGCAAGCGUUAUCCGGAUUUACUGGGUGUAAAGGGAGCGUAGACGGCGACGCAAGUCUGAAGUGAAAUGCCAGUGCUCAACACUGGAACUGCUUUGGAAACUGUGUAGCUAGAGUGCAGGAGAGGUAAGUGGAAUUCCUAGUGUGGCGGUGAAAUGCGUAGAUAUUAGGAGGAACACCAGUGGCGAAGGCGGCUUACUGGACUGUAACUGACGUUGAGGCUCGAAGGCGUGGGGAGCAAACAGGAUUAGAUACCCCAGUA